AUGGCUGACAAUGGCGAAAAUACAACCGAUGACGAGCGAGCGUCGCAUCCCCGUCGGCUUCUUCUGUGCUGGUGGGUGUGCGUGCCCGGAUUUGGUGAUCCGAUUUCAGUUCUCCGGUUCCCCGCCGUCGCCGGCUUGAAAUCACCUGGGAUGGCGCACCACGCGCCAAUCAAGGCAUCCAUCGUAGUACUACCUCCUCCGCCUCUUGCCACCCGCCAACCCCGUCACGCCGCCGACGCCGACGGCCGUCCUCCUCUCCUUCGUCGCCUCCCUACCCGAGGCCUCCCAGCGAGUCCUCCUGCUGUCUUGGCAAACCAACACCAGCUCUGCCUCCACCCACACUCAGCACUGCGCGUUCCGUGGCGUCACGUGCACCGCCGCCGGCGCGGUCGCCGCGCUGAACCUCUCCGGGCUGGGCCUGCCGGGUGCGCUCGCGGCGUCCGCGCCGCGCCUCUGCGCGCUCCCCACGGCCAUCUCCUCGCUCGACCUCAGCGGGAACGGCUUCGCGGGCCCCGUCCCGGCCGCGCUCGCCGUGUGCUCCGGCGUGGCCACCCUCCUCCUGGCGCGCAACCGCCUGACAGGAGACGUGCCCUUGGAGCUGCUCUCCUCCCGCCAGCUACGGAAGCUGGACCUCGGCGGCAACGCGCUCGCCGGAGAGAUCCCGACGCCUGCCACCGCCGGCGCGUCCGUCCUCGAGCACCUGGACCUGAGCAACAACUCCCUCUCGGGCACCAUCCCGCCGGAGCUGCUGGCCGCGCUCCCGGGCAUCAGGGUGCUGAACCUCAGCACCAACGCGCUCUCGCGACCGUUGCCCGAGUUCCCGGCCCACUGCCGGCUCACCUACCUCGCCGUCGACAGCAACAGCAUCACCGGGGAGCUCCCCCGGAGCCUUUGUUGCCGUGGCCGCCCUAG
rnacentral:rRNA from 1 species